rnacentral:rRNA from 1 species
UACGAAGGUGGCAAGCGUUGUUCGGAUUUACUGGGCGUACAGGGAGCGUAGGCGGUUGGAUAAGCCCUCCGUGAAAUCUCCAGGCUUAACCUGGAAAGUGCAGAGGGGACUGUUCAGCUAGAGGAUGGGAGAGGAGCGCGGAAUUCCCGGUGUAGCGGUGAAAUGCGUAGAGAUCGGGAGGAAGGCCGGUGGCGAAGGCGGCGCUCUGGAACAUUUCUGACGCUGAGGCUCGAAAGCGUGGGGAGCAACAGG